UGACGUUUCGUCAACCUUAUCUGAAAUAAACUAAUUAAACAAAUCGCCUUUGAAAUGAUUUGAGAGUAACCAUGAAAACCUCGAUGAAAACGCAUGUUCUAUAACUGUUACAAAAUAAAAAUGUUAGCGAGUUUGUUGUUUUUUAUGUUAUCGAUUUAAAAGAAGUAUAAUAAAAAAUAUUGUUCAUUACACGUCCAGAAAUGCUUUUUCCGUGCUUGCAUGACUUCGCCUACGCCUCACACGGGAAUUUGCCACGCGCGCACGGAAAAAGCCUGCUUUCCGGACUCCUAAUGAAAUAUACUAUUAAUUACUCAAUGCGUGUUGGCAGUAAGUGAGCGCGUGCAAUAAACAAAAUAGACAUAACUCGUAGAGUUACCAAUAAAAUACAAAAUAAUAUUUUAUUUUGUAAAACCGAUAAACUAUUGAACAAACCAAUUGAGGCAAUGAAGUAAUUAAGUUCCUUUACUCAAUCUUUAAGUUCUUACCCAAUUUUUAAUUUAAAAACACUAUUCCAUUUUUGUAUAGUUCGAUAGGAAGGAAAAGUAAAUCGUAAAUUCUUAAGCAUAAACUUAUAUAGAGAUGGCGAUUUGUAAUAAAACGGUAAUGCUAGAUCUUUCUCUGCUUUGGUCCAGGGCCUUCGCUGGUGGUGAAAUAUUUGCAUUUUUGUAAAAGUCUUAACAGCAUACUUUUGUUUUUUAACAGCUUUUCUAUCAAACGAAACGAGACUGAUGCUUUUUUCUUCAAUUGAAGUUGUUUUGCCUUUAAUUUUUUCCUAAGUUCGUAAACUUUAACAGAUAACUUCUUCACUUUCCCUGUUUCUAUUAUCGAAUCCAGGGAUUGCAUGUGUAAAAUUCUAUCGCUAACCACAGAUACAUGCGAUGGCGUAGGACUGGGAGGGUUAGAAGGGGCUAACUUAUACUUUUUUGCAAAAGUGUACAUGUUUGGGGAGCCUAUCGGACGUUUUCUCACGCCAUUACUCGAUGAAUUGUCUUCCUCUAAAAGAAUCAGAAUAAUUAAUAUUGAGAAUGGGGAGUAGUCAGUAAAAUGAGUAAGUUCGCAUAUCGGAUUAGCGUCACUGGCUUGACACUUUUAAGUGGGUGUUUCCCAUUCCGAGACUAACAUACCUUAACUAUUGCGUUCUCUUUUUGCUGCAACAACCUCCAUUUUAAACGUCUGUAACGUCCAGUGUAAUUCUUAGUUCACCGCCCGCGGUUCGUAAAACUAGAUACGCACUUGCCCUCUACCUCAAAUGUCAUGUUUUAAAUAAGGAAAGAUGUAUAACCUCAUGCGCGCUGUGAAUAUAAGCGCUAAUCCGAUGUGCGAACUUACUCAUUUUACUGACUAUAGUGUGAUGUGCAGAGCCCGUUCUAAUUUUUUGAAUUAACUGUGAUUUUUGAUGUUCUUUUAAUUUCGCUUUAUUUUCGCCAUUUCGCUGAUAGCUUAAUUGUUAAUUAAUACUAUGAAAAGCAAAAUGAAUCAUCGCCAUGACCUGGGCCAAAUUGGAACAAAAAUGAUUCUUUUUACAUUGUAUUCUGAAAAGUGUUUAUUUUAACAUAUGCAUAUUUUGGAUUUUACUGCACUAAAACCUCGUACAAAACCACAGGAUUUUCCCAUUAAGAGGAUGUUCUUCUUCGCAUGUGCACAUCUCUAAUCCAAUGGUGCUCCUGUCUGCAUACUGUGUACCAACUUACAUUUUAAUUUUAAAACAUUUCCAGAUUUUUUGCAAUAUUUACAUGUUUCAGGGUAAUGUUCAAAUUUUCCACAAUUAGAACAUUAAAGGAAUUUUAGCAAUCAGAUAUUUCACAAACUUCAUACACAAUUCCGACAUAUCUUCCAUAUCGCCAGCUGGCUGGCCAUAGUAGACUGAAUUUUUGCCUAUAAUUGUGUACAUAUUUUCGAGUUUUGACCUUUUCUAAGAACAUUUUUGACAAAACUAGUUAAAACACUUCUGUGAGGUUAUGUGUCAAUUUAAUUCAGAUUAAUAGACUUCUCUUACCAUCUUCGUUUUUCCGUCACACAGGGAGAUAUCAGGAAGGAAACCACUUUUCUGCACAUUGAAAUCCAACAAAUCUUGAAGUUGAUUUUUGGACGUUUACUAAAUUUUCUUUUUUCACAAUGGAGCCACAGAAACAAGGCGAAUGCUACUUGUUCUGCAGUAGAACAUUAGAGGCGGUACACUUUUAGCGAUUACUUCCGCAACAUAUGUUGAACGGUUGAAAGCUGCAAGUUAUUACUAUCAAAGAUGCCAAGCGACUAGUAUGACUGGUAGUCGGUAAGUAGGUCAUAGACCCUUCAGUUUUUUGUUUUUAUUUUACAGAAUGUUACUUUAGAAAGGGGAUACUGUCAUCAUCUUACGGUGUUGUAUGAGUUUUUUGGGCUUCAAGCUUGUCAUUAAAGAAAAUGUUUUGAGAGUUUAUGUCUAAAAGUGGUAACUGUUCGCCGCAGAUGGCAAUUUCUUUAUUAUUGUCAAUAAUGCCAUGUCUCGAUGUGGCCUUCAAUUCUAAAAUGACGCUCUAGCCCUAGCUAUACAUUGUGUCAUAAUUUCACUCCUUUGAUUUGUCAUAGAAAAUUUCAAUCUGGUAUAAAAUUAAUUUUUUGUGCAAAUCACAAGUGAUCUUGUGUUUCCGCCUGCUGAGCAGUGCAAACUAUCACUCUUCUUAGGCCACAUAUUUAUUGAUCUUCGUUUGAAAGCAGUAAAAUAAAGAUGUCCAUUGAGAUUGGUCCGAAUUGGAAAAAGGUUUGUUUGGGCAUAUAAUAAUUGAUUGUUUGAUAAUCAGUGACAAAUAAUUAGUUUAUAGAAUCAUUUGUUUUUAGUAACUAUUAUCACUUGUUCGAAUUGGGUUGAGUGGAAGAGCAGACACGGAUGCUAUCCCUGUCUAAUAAAGUCAUUAUUAUAAUCGCCCAUUUAUUAAUAAUAGACUAUUCCAGGCGGCGACGGCAAGCGGCUUCAAUUUCGGUCAGACAGCACCGGCACAAGCGCCCCCGUCAUUUAACGCGAACAUCAAACCAAACUUCAACUUCACCGCUGGAAAUAUGGUGACUGGAUUUUCCGCGACGCCCGAAAAUUCGCCGGUAACGCAGCGAAGGAGACUAAAAGCAGUAAGACGAAAUCCUCGAUAGUGUUAUUGCGAACGCGCCGUCGCAUGUAAAUAUAUUAUAGCAAUUAAUGUCCUGUGACAGUUAGCCUUAAUUUUAAGGUAUAUUUUGUAAAAAAAAUAUAUGCAUUCAAUGAGACGUUAAAAAUCAAGUUGUGUAACACUGAAUGAUGCUUUUCAGACCUGGUAUACUUUAACUACGAAAGUUUUGGAUUGGCUGUGAAUAUCCGAAAUGCGCGUUGAGCCCUUUCGGUACUUGUAAUAUAAUGUUGAAACGUUUUAGAAUUUAUUAUUAAAAGAAAAUUGUCAUGCGUAUUGUACGAUGUUCACAGUUGGGUCUUAAGCUUGAACGAGAACAACUGUUAAGUAAUAAUUAUAUAUUCCUACAUUGUACGUGUAUUAUAGUGUAGGUUUAUUACAUGGUCUGAUCCAUAGAAUUUAGAAUUUUUUACUGAUAUUUAAAGAUGAAUAAUUCGUCUCUUGUGGUUUAAUGAAAAUCAUUGAAAAAAUACUUCGAUGUAUAAAUAUUGAAAUAUAAUAUUUAUAUGAUUGCCAUAUUGGCUAUACUUUCUGUGAUAUUCUCAUGGGUCAGGCCCCGCACAUAUUCAUUAUAUGAUAAAACACAGACAAAUGUAUCAAAUAAUAAUGCACUUAUUUUCUACCGAAGGUGCGAUAUGUUUAUUAUUGUUGCCGAAUAAUUUUGUCUGUGUCAAAUAAAGUAGGCUCACUCCUUAUGUUCCUGCGAGUAAUCUAUUUUGUUGAUUGGAAACUGUAGAUAUUUUUAUAUAACGAUAAUGAAAGUGAUAUUUUCGCAACACAUUAUUUACCACCUUUAGUUUUUUAUUUUUUAAACCAAUUACGAUAAGGGUAAGAUAAUUUUACAUGGUACGUUAAAUAAUUGUGUUGCCGUAACUUUUAAAAAAGGAGUUAGACUGCUUGUGUAAAUAGUUAAUUUGAUUAAAAGAAUUUAAUUAGAUGAGAUCGAUGCUGAGAGUUCCAUUGGAAGUGGAUUUUCUGUUCUCUAGUGUACUCAAAUAUGUUACAAAACUGUAAUGGAACUUUCAGCAUACUUGUGCCUUUAUUUUUUUAUUUAUCUCGUUUGGCAAAAAAAAGCUUGGCCUAGUCUACGCUCCGUUAAAUUUGUUUAUUCUUCAACAAAAGGUUCGUUUUAAAUGUAUUUGCAAGAAAAAUACCAAUGUAUGUGUUGUCUCCAUAAGUAAUUUAUUUGUGUAAAUGAAGUUUAUUGUUUUGCCGAUUUAUUCGUAUGUGCAAGCCAAGUUUUUGUUAAAACUGUUUUCAGUUAAGUUAAAUACAUAAACUAGUAUAGGUAA